GAGCGAUUAGCUCAGUCGGUAGAGCGUUCCCUUGACGUGGGAAAGGUCAGAGGUUCGAAUCCUCUAUCGCUCA
rnacentral:tRNA from 1 species